rnacentral:rRNA from 1 species
GGCUCGUAGCGGAGGACAUAUCCGCUGCGGAGGAGCAUAUGAACAAGCGGAGGACUGAGUUUUUUGGGAUGCGCGAACUAUUGCUUUGGCUUGGCCUUCGGGUUGGGCCAGAGUGCUGUGAACUUCAAUUUUAUUGAAUUGUUUUUUUAACCAUAAGUCAAUUUGUUUGAUUAAAUUCAAAAUAAUCUUCAAAACUUUCAACAACGGAUCUCUAGGUUCUCGCAUCGAUGAAGAACGCAGCGAAAUGCGAUAAGUAAUAUGAAUUGCAGAUUUUCGUGAAUCAUCGAAUCUUUGAACGCACAUUGCGCCCUUUGGUAUUCCAAAGGGCAUGCCUGUUUGAGCGUCAUUUCUCCUUCAAACCCCCGGGUUUGGUAUUGAGUGAUACUCUUAGUCAGACUAGGCGUUUGCUUGAAAAGUAUCGGCAUGAGUGCGCUAGAUAGUGCCUCCGAUUAUUCAAUGUAUUAGGUUUAUCCAACUCGUUGAACGGUCGGGACGUAAAUUUCUGGUAGCUGGCUCGGCCUUACAACAACAAACAAGUUUGACCUCAAAUCAGGUAAGAAUACCCGCUGAACUUAAGCAUAUCAAUAAGGCGGAGGAAGGG